UUGAAAACAAACUGUUUGUUACGAAAGUUAGUAAUAGAAGUAUUAAUAUAUUCAAGCAGUAUGUAUCACGAGAAUUAGUGGUUUUAAUAGCAUUGAAACAGUUUGCAUCGCGAGAAGAAAUGGUUUUGAUAUCAUUGAAACAGCUUAUAUCACGCGAAGAAGUGGACAAAAGAUUUAUUUUAGUUAAAAUAGUCAACACAAACAAAUCGUAGCCCUUGGCAAACGGUUUUUUGAGAAGGUUCUUUUUAAAAACAUAUAUAAACCUUGACAUCUUUUGAAAAGAAGAAAGGUUAGUUAUCUUGGUGUCAUUGGUGGUGUCAAAGGAAUUGCUAAAGUCUGUAGAUUGCAACGCAUAAUUUGAAGACUCCGAGUGGUUGAAAAAAAUGGAGAAGACGAGCUUCGGCA